AUGUGCAGGUAUUGGUGUGUAUUGAUGUUCUGCUAGGUGUCGAGGGCACAUCUCCAGGUGAGCUCCAGGCGGGAUUCUGAGGAUUGGUAAAUGGAGGAAAUAUCAUGGUCGCUCUCUGCAACUUUAUACUUACCAGCGGGCUGGCCGGACGCAUAGGUCUCCACUCAGAGGAGGGCAGCUCAGACUCCAGCCAAAGUCAACAUCUUAGCUGGUCACUGUGACUGCCUGUCACCCCGCGCGUCUACAGCCCGCAGUGCCCGCCUCCGCUCCUGUGUUCUCCGCAUUGACCCCGCCACUCACUGAGCAGAACUCCAGGGGAGGCUCAGACACAAAGUCAUCCCAGAGCCCAUUUAUUUUUUAGCUGAACAUAACAGAGCCCUUUCCGGGGAGCUGCCUGCACAGAAUGUGCUUGCUAAGAAGCUUUUCUGAAGAAAUGCACCUGGCGUGGAUUUUGAUGGCCACUCAGCAGAAAUAGAUGUAGUUUGCUGAGGCUACAGACAUCUAGAUUGAGAAGAGAAUCCAUGAGUGACAAUGUGUAGCUUUCAGAACAUUCAGCUCAAAAAUAUACCAGUUGGGUAUAAAGAGGUUAAAAACUAUGGACCCAAACUUUGCGCUAUGAAAGCACCCUUGGCGUUUCCUCCACACACAGGAGUGAGCAGAGAGCCAGACUGUUCAGCUCUUGAACGUUUAAAGGAACCUGGAUCAAUAUAUGAAGAGAGAAAGAAAAACCUCUCACUGAACAACUACUAGUUCUAUAAACCCAACAAGAUGUCGAUUAUGAAAUGUACCAUUUGCACAGGGACUCUCCUCGUUUUUCUGCAGCCACCCAGUCCUCUGGAAGGACAGCGAUUAUUAAAAGUCACAGGUAGUACAAGCAGAUUUACAUGAAUUUAAAUGAAAUCCAAAUACCAAUUUAUGUCUGGCCGUGUUUUGUCAAAUUUCAACACAUAUCUGUAACAAAAUAAGGCAUAUGAGUUUUGAGCGAACAAGAUUUUAGCAAGAAAGGCAUGAAUUCCAACAUAAACAUUUAAAAUAUUAAUAAAACAUCUUGGACGUCGAGGAAUUCUUACCACAGUCAAGUUUUCUUUGGAGCGAAGGACCAGCUGGAUUCCUGUCUCCCUGGCUGCUGCGUUGGCCUGCGACAUGCAGCAGAAGACGGGACCCAGGGGUGAGACUGGUAUAACCAGCAGCUUCGUGUCUCCUGCUUUCUCACUCUGACUCCCGUGCAUCCAUUUCCCACAAACCUCCAACCGUGCAGUCUCAGAACAGAGGCCUCUGCCUUUGUGAAGCCUGCCUAGGCCUCCCCAAGCAUCCGGGCUCUCGCUACCCGAGACAAUGUCUGCAAAUCGCUACCGCCUUGCUGGAGACACAGGGUGUCACCCACA